rnacentral:rRNA from 1 species
AGAGUUUGAUCAUGGCUCAGGAUGAACGCUAGCGGCAGGCUUAACACAUGCAAGUCGAGGGGUAACAGGGUGCUUGCACCGCUGACGACCGGCGCACGGGUGCGUAACGCGUAUACAAUCUACCUUUUACAGAGAGAUACCCCAGAGAAAUUUGGAAUAAUACCUCAUAAUAUUCUUGCUCGGCAUCGAGUGACAAUUAAAGUUUCGGCGGUAAAAGAUGAGUAUGCGUCCUAUUAGCUAGUUGGUAAGGUAACGGCUUACCAAGGCAACGAUAGGUAGGGGUCCUGAGAGGGAGAUCCCCCACACUGGUACUGAGACACGGACCAGACUCCUACGGGAGGCAGCAGUGAGGAAUAUUGGUCAAUGGGCGAAAGCCUGAACCAGCCAUGCCGCGUGCAGGAAGACUGCCCUAUGGGUUGUAAACUGCUUUUAUACAGGAAGAAACACUCGGACGUGUCCGAGCUUGACGGUACUGUAUGAAUAAGCACCGGCUAACUCCGUGCCAGCAGCCGCGGUAA